AUUGAACGCUGGCGGCAUGCCUAACACAUGCAAGUCGAGCGAGCGGCGGACGGGUGAGUAAUGUCUGGGAAACCGCCUGUUGGAGGGGGAUAACUACUGGAAACGGUUGCUAAUACCGCACACCAUCAGAUGUGCCCAGAUGCGAUUUGCUAGUAGGUGGGGUAACGGCUCACCUAGGCGACGAUCCCUAGCGGGUCUGAGAGGAUGACCAGCCACACUGGAACUGAGACACGGUCCAGACUCCUACGUGAGGCAGCAGUGGGGAAUAGUGGACAAUGGGCGAAAGCCUGAUGCAGCCAUGCCGCGUGUGUGAAGAAGGUUUUCGGGUUGUAAAGCACGUGCAGCGGGGAGGCGUUACCCGCAGAAGAAGCACCGGCUAACUCCGUGCCAGCAGCCGCGGUAAUUC
rnacentral:rRNA from 1 species